CUUAGCAUGUUUGGUUAACUUUAAACAGGUGUUUGCUUGGGCGUUUUUUAGGUAGAUGCUGAGUGAUUGCUUGAUUGCACACUUUCUGCUUUAUUCUGGUCUCUCAAUAGGAGUUAAAUUUUUCUGUUUUUCAAGUCACACAACUUAAGGUACUAUUCAAAACAAACAGUAUGGAAUGAGUUAUAUACUAAACUAUAAUAAUGCCUUCAAGUGCAUCUUUACAUUACUACAACACCAUGUUAUUAUGACGUCACAGAUUCAAAUCAGGAAAAUAAGCCUGAAAUCAGAAUGGUAAUAUAAGCACUCAUACAUGGUAUCUAACAAAAACGGUAACAAAAUUUACUUUUCAAAAGGCAAACUGUGAAAAGUAAGAGAUGAUACACUAAUAGUACACUUAACUGUCUAUAAGUUGUUCUGUAUAUCGUGCCAGUACAGCAUGUAAAAUUGUAAAUGAAAAAAAAAAAAAAAAUGUUUUCUGACAUAUUUCAAAUCAACACCCUUUAUGACAUCACUCGUGUGUCAUCUAGAAUUCUGUUCAGUUUCCUGCUUGUAAAUAUGACUUAUGAUAUUUCUGGAAGGGCACAUAAUACUGUUAUGUUUCACCAAAAAGUAUGAGAAAUGGUAACAGUGAAGCUUUUUGGAUUUGAUAAUACAGUACAGCCAUAGAGGAUAGAGAACAAGAGGAGGUCCAAGAAGGUUUUGACAUCUGGUUCAGAAUUGCAGUCCUGGUGGAGUUCAGGAUCUCUCCCUCCAGCAUCAGAUGAGAGAUCUGAUAAAGAUAAACGUGUGGAAAACGUGUCAUUUGAUGAAGGAGGCUCUGGGCAAACACGGGCGACAUGAUGAGCCUGUGAUCUGCCUGCAUGAGUGUCAGCAGGAGACGGGCCAGAGAUCUCAAUCCAGAGCCUCGCUCUCACUCUCCCAUUCUCUGACUCUCUCUUCUCCUGUACAACUGAUAGUGCUGUUGAACAUAAAAAUCAGACGCAUACAUUUAUUUGGAUGUUUUCUUCCAAGUUCCCUGAGCCAGAUCCAAUUAUGCUACAUAUUAUAAUAAAAGAGCAUUAAUCGAGAACAAUGUGUAAACAUACUUUUUGUUCACUGUUCCUUGCUGGUGAUCUUCCUAAACCUAAGGGCAGCAAAAUCAUUGACAAUAUUCAACAAACAGCUGAAAAGUCAUCUCUUCCAUGAGCCCUAAACUGCAUCCUGCUGAGAACAAAUAAAUAUAUAUAUAUAUAUAUAUAUAUAUAUAUAUAUAUAUAUAUAUAUAUAUACAUAUAUAUGAUUUUAAAUUCAGCAUGAAAUGGAAAUUUACCUUAUCUAUUUUCAUUAUCAGUUGCAUGAUAUUUAUCUUAUUAUGAAAGAUUCAUCCAUGCAUGUUUAAUUUUUUUAACCUUGUAAUUUUUAUUCAUAAUCUCAUAACUUGAUUUGGUGAUGUAUGACUUCUGUAAUUUUGUCUGUGAACUCUCCCCUUUCUUAUUUUAUAGUGCAAGCUCACAUUAAGAUCUGCCUCCGCAUGGGAGAAUUGAACCAUCCCUACAUUUCUCUUUAUUUUGACCCAGAUGUACUUCACGAUACAGAAGAAAAUAUCUGUCACUCUGCAACUUUAAGGAGGUAUUUGUUUCAUUUUCAGUUUUGGUUCAUGACGUGUUGCAUCAUCACUUGAUGUGAUAUGUGCAGUCUGGUGCCUGAAGCAAAACCAGCAAACAACUGAUCCAUACUAAAGCAUUUGCCUAAAACAGGAAGCACCAGCGGAUGAAGCAGGAAUCUCGAGCACAUUUUUGGACUACCUCUAUGAAAUAAACUGUGUGCUCAUAUAUUUGAGAAAGACAGCAAGGAGCUUUGUCAAUGGAGUGUGUGUGUGUGUGUGUGUGUGUGCACACUCACGUCACCCAACGUUGAAAGCCAAGCCCCUGGGC
ensembl:lncRNA